rnacentral:rRNA from 1 species
AACGAACGCUGGCGGCAUGCCUAACACAUGCAAGUCGAACGAUGCCUUCGGGCAUAGUGGCGCACGGGUGCGUAACGCGUGGGAAUCUGCCUUUCGGUUCGGAAUAACUCAGGGAAACUUGAGCUAAUACCGGAUAACGUCGCAAGACCAAAGAUUUAUCACCGAAAGAUGAGCCCGCGUAGGAUUAGCUAGUUGGUGAGGCAAAGGCUCACCAAGGCGACGAUCCUUAGCUGGUCUGAGAAGAUGAUCAGCCACACUGGGACUGAAGCACGGCCCAGACUCCUACGGGAGGAAACGGUGGGGAAUAUUGGGAAAUGGGCGGAAGCCUAAUCCACGAAUGACGCGUGAGGUUUUAAAGCCUUAGGGUUGUAAAGCUAUUUUACCCGGGAAGAUAAUGACGGUACCGGGAGAAUAAGCCCCGGCUAACUCCGUG